rnacentral:rRNA from 1 species
UACGUAGGGUGCGAGCGUUGUCCGGAAUUAUUGGGCGUAAAGGGCUCGUAGGCGGUUUGUCGCGUCGGGAGUGAAAACCCAGGGCUUAACCCUGGGCUGGCUUCCGAUACGGGCAGACUAGAGGUAUGCAGGGGAGAACGGAAUUCCUGGUGUAGCGGUGAAAUGCGCAGAUAUCGGGAGGAACACCAGCGGCGAAGGCGGCACUCUGGGCUGGAACUGACGCUGAGGAGCGAAAGCGUGGGUAGCAAACAGG